rnacentral:tRNA from 1 species
UAUAUUUUAGUAUAGGUUGUACAGGAGAUUUUGAUUCUUCAGGAAAUAGUUGAAUUCUAUUAAAUAUAA